rnacentral:rRNA from 1 species
UUUUAGAGUUUGAUCCAUGGCUCAGAACGAACGCUGGCGGCGUGUCUUAAGCAUGCAAGUCGAGCGGCAAGGGGAGCUUGCUCCCCCUAGAGCGGCGGACUGGUGAGUAACGCGUGGGUGAUCUGCCUUCGGGUUGGGGAUAGCCAUUAGAAAUAGUGGGUAAUACCGAAUACGCUUGCAGGACUGCGGUCCUGUAAGGAAAGGCGCUACGGCGCCGCCCGAAGAUGAGCCCGCGUCAGAUUAGCUAGUUGGUGGGGUAAAGGCCUACCAAGGCGAUGAUCUGUAGCCGGCGUGAGAGGGUGUACGGCCACAUUGGGACUGAGAUACGGCCCAAACUCCUACGGGAGGCAGCAGCUAAGAAUAUUCCGCAAUGGACGAAAGUCUGACGGAGCGACGCCGCGUGGAUGAGGAAGGCCGAAAGGUUGUAAAAUCCUUUUGUCGGAGAAGAAUAAGCGUGGGAGGGAAUGCCCGCGUGAUGACGUAACCGGCGAAUAAGCCCCGC